rnacentral:rRNA from 1 species
CAGCCGCCGCGGUAAUACGUACGGUGCAAGCGUUAAUCGGAAUUACUGGGCGUAAAGCGUGCGCAGGCGGUUAUGUAAGACAGGCGUGAAAUCCCCGGGCUUAACCUGGGAAUUGCGCUUGUGACUGCAUAGCUAGAGUAUGUCAGAGGGGGGUAGAAUUCCACGUGUAGCAGUGAAAUGCGUAGAGAUGUGGAGGAAUACCAAUGGCGAAGGCAGCCCCCUGGGAUAAUACUGACGCUCAUGCACGAAAGCGUGGGGAGCAAACAGGAUUAGAUACCCUGGUAGUCCACGCCCUAAACGAUGCUGACUAGUUGUUCGGGAAUUUAUUCCUGAGUAACGUAGCUAACGCGUGAAGUCAGCCGCCUGGGGGGUACGGUCGCAAGAUUAAUACUC